CACUCCCCGCAACCCAGUCCGCCCUUGAUGUCAGCCAUUUUACAUAGCAAUCGCGACUGAAUUCGUCCCCAAAAGUAUUUAGCAAUCAGGCCUAACGUUAAAUACACAUUUCUAUUUAACAACCGGGUGACAUUCGAAAAUGGAGACCGAAGGCCAGGUUGACUUCAGUACAGACGAGUUUCCAGAGGGCUCCAAGAUAAAUGCAAGCAAAAACCAGCAGGACGACGGCAAGAUGUUCAUUGGAGGGCUCAGUUGGGACACCAGCAAAACAGACCUCACGGAUUACCUGUCGAAGUUUGGAGAGGUUCUGGACUGCACCAUCAAAACAGACCUGAUGACGGGCCGGUCCCGGGGCUUCGGCUUUGUUCUCUUCAGAGACUCAGAGAGUGUAGACCGGGUGUUGGAGCUGAAGGAGCACAAGCUGGACGGGAAGCUGAUCGAUCCAAAGAGGGCCAAAGCCAUGAAGGGGAAGGAACCGCCCAAGAAGGUGUUUGUUGGAGGCCUCAGCCCAGACACCCCAGAGGAGGAAAUCAGAGAAUACUUUGGCGCUUUUGGAGAUAUUGACAGCAUCGAGCUUCCCAUGGACACCAAAACCAACGAGCGACGUGGGUUUUGCUUUGUGACCUACUGUGAGGAGACUCCUGUUCAAAAGCUGUUGGAGUGCAGAUACCACCAAGUUGGGAGUGGAAAGUGUGAAAUCAAAGUGGCCCAGCCCAAAGAAGUGUAUAGACAGCAGCAACAACACAGAGGAGAGCGGGGAGGCUACGAAGGAGGGAGAGGAGGUGGCGGAUACAGGGGCCGGGGACGAGGAGGUCAGAGUAACUACAACCAAGGUUACAACGGCUACUACAGCCAGAACUAUGGUAGCUACGGCAAUGGAUACAACCAGGGCUACAAUGGCUACGCGGGCUAUGACUACUCUGGCUACAACUAUAAUAGUUAUGGUUAUGGACAGGGAUACGACGACUACAAUGGCCAGCAGAGCAGCUAUGGGAAGGCCUCUCGAGAGGUCACAACCCACCAGAACAACUACCAGCCUUACUGAGCUGAUCUGAUCCAACAGGACCUGCUUAGAAUUCUGCGGGGACUUCAUUGCAGGCCGUGUGUCGCCUGAUCACGACAAUCUCUGGGCGACGCACAUAGCGGGCAGAGAGCACGGCAUGCACAAGAAAACGCUGUCCUGUGACGGGCUGGCUGGAGAAUGACCCUGUACCCAGGUGGAAGUUUUGGGGGCUGAAUCCUGUCCUGUCCUCAGAUCAGCUCAUGUUUUAAACACCAGGCCCAUAUUUCGUUGUCCUCUUCCUGAGUUGAAGCUGGCAUGCAGUGUGUCUGACUUUGUAAAUAGCGAGGUUGCAGCUUUUUGGUUCCAGUCCCCCCCUUCCCUUCAUCUUGUAGGUUUCAUGUAAUGUGUUCUUAUCACCUUGAUUUUCAACCUGUCCUGCUUUUGUUUUAAACGUGGAUUUUCUGCAGUUUUUUUGGAUAAAGGGAUUAUUAAAGAGGGUACAAAACUC